rnacentral:lncRNA from 1 species
AUGGGGACAGCCCCUAGCCUCCCCCUGCCCCAGUUGCUCCACAGGUAUGUCUCAGCCUCACGUAGCCCACCUUCUCCGGGCUGCCACGAUUGCUUCUGCAAGCCAAAAGGCAUCACCCUGCCCCUGGCUAGAGGCUGCUGGUUUCUGAUCUGGUUGAACACAUCAUGCGGGGGGGGGCGGGUAGAGGUGUGCCCUGCUCCCUGUUGCCGUAUGCUGCCAUSCUGGAGCUGGCUCCUGUGCCUGCCCGGGGUGUCCUGGCUCCGGAGGGAGCUACCGUGCCCUCGGGGCCCGAGGGCAGUGAGGUGGAGGGACAGCAGGGCCAGUGGGUGUCAGUGUUUGGUCCCUUCCAGCACAUGGGGAAAGAGUGAGAGGAAACCCAGUCUCUGGGAUGGGUCAGAGAGGCUUUGCCUGUCUGUGCUGUGUGCUGAGUUGCUGGGUCUCUGCACAGCACAGCCUUGGGGCCUUGCCAGGUUGCGUAUGGGCCAGUUUGGGGGUGGGGGGGGACACAUAGCUGGGCCCUUUUGGUGGGAUGGGGGCAGGGGGAGAUACACUGAUGCCAAGAGGUGAGGGUGCUUAAGUGGGGUCAGAGCUGUGGCACGGUGGAGGGGCACCUGCCUCUCUCCAGCUCAGGGCUGGGGGGAGAGGGUGGAGGUAACCUGGAGGCCGUUGCAUUCCCUUCCUGCCUGUAUUUUGCUGAGAGGCAGCUUGCAGCCAGCACRGGAGGCUGCAGGGUCCCUCUCGGAGCCCUUUUCCCUUACGUGGACUGGCUCCUGGGGGCGGCAAGGCUGUGAUGUUCUCUUCGGUUCUUAUUUUUGCAGAAUUGCACAAAGAGAGGUUUCCUUUUUCUUUUCUUUUCUUUUUUUUUUUUAAUUUAAUGAAUUGUAAAGUGUUGUCAUCCCCCCUCUUUUUCUUUUUUUUCUUUUUUUUUUUAAGAGAGAUUUUGGCUCAGAUUUGACCUCUGUUGGGAAAUGAUUCUUGUAACUGUACAUUUUUUUUUGCCUCCUAAUAAUAAUAAAUUAACAAUUUUGCGUUGGUGGGUGUGGUUG